GAGUAGACCUCUGUGCUGACAGGCUAGAGGAUGGAUUCCAAUGGUGCCUGCCAGUGUCUUUGGCAUCACCGCUGGCCUAGGUCAUAAUAAUGGCUGCUGCCAGUGUCUCAGUCUCUGAGGGAUGGGCCCGGCCACCUACUGCCUCUCUGAGAUGCACUCAGAGCUUAGCAAUGGAUUGAGAAUAGUCACUUCAUUCAGGGAGGACGGAACACACGUGACAAUUAACAGCAUUAACCUCUACAGCAUUGGUCUGCAUUUCUGUUCAAAAAUUGACGGGGGACCCACACUAUGGAGAAGGUCACAGUAAAUCUGGAAAGAGUCACAUGAAGCUCAUCGUUCUGAACAUCCCAAUUCUACUUGUCAAGGAUGCCUGGAAAGAGACACUGAAGAGAACAGCACAGAAUAUGGAAACCCUGGAGAAGGGAGAACAACUUCAUUGCUAAGAUCAAAAUCAUCCUCGUUUUGAUAUAACCACCAUAAACUAGAAAAAAAAAGGGGGGUUUCAUCUAUACAAGAACUAAUCCUUGGGAAGUAAAUGUCAGUCCUCUGCGAGGACUGGUGGUUGCUUUUCUCUGCCCUUUGAUGUCAGCUUUCUGGGGCGAGGUGGCAGGACCCACAGUGAUGUCCGUUCAGACCACACAUUCCAACCCAGCCCAAGUCACAUGACUGGCGUGUUAGUGAGGUCAGUUUAGAUUAUUCUGGUUUUUGCGUAGCUGGGCAUCAGGUCCCUUGGUGGGGCUGCUUAAAUUGCUCCACCCCUGCAAAAUGCUGAAUGCCGUAUGAGGGGACCACCUGAUUGUCCAGCUCUGCUUCCCCAUGGGCAAAGAGCUGUAUGAAACACAUGCGGACCCUUAUCAGUGUUCCAAACUCUGCAAGGCUUGAAGUUGGUUUUCAAGCCACAGUUCACACAGAUUUAGUAAAAGCAGCCUACAUAGCUGUCCUUCUCUGAAAUCUUUGUUCUAACUUUUUCCAAAUGUGUUUAACUAAUUUUGAACUCUAGACUCAAAUCUCAAUACUCUCCAAUCCACUGCAUCUGUUUUCAAGAUACUGAGGCGCAUUUACAGAAAAUAUCGUCAUCCUUCAUGGGUUGAUUAGAUGAGUGAUGAGAUACUAAGUUCCCUUGGUUAACUGCCAUUCUCCAUGUUCUACUUUUCAACUGGUUCCCACCCACAGGCACUUUCUUCCCUAUCUAUUUCUCUUGUUCUUUCCUGUUCACUCUCCCCAUUUCCUCCUACUUGUGGUCACUGACUCCCAUUAUUAUUCUCUUCAUUCUGAGAUAAUAUAUGAGAAAACACUCUGUAAAUCCUAAAAUUCUAUACCAAAGUCAGACAUCAAUAUUAUAAUUAUAACUCAUCAUUUUACAAUCUGGUUUUGUGCGUGGGUAUGUGUGUACAGUGUGGGUGUAUUCAUGUGUGCAUGAGAGGAAAGCUCACCUGUCAUGAUUGGUCCUACAUCCUGGAGUGAGGUCUCCAUUACCCUUUCCUGACCAGAGAGGGCCUCUACCUACGUAGAGAGGCAAGCUCCAGAUAGAUCUAACUAAUUAGAAGUUUCAGAUGUGAGAUCUUUUGAAAAUACACAACAGUAGACAGCCUGUCCUAGUUAAUCUAAGAAGCAGAGAAAAUUUGCUUGUACUCUCCCAUUUGCCUAUCUGCUGACAUUUAUUUCUCCACC
rnacentral:lncRNA from 1 species